UACGUAGGUGGCAAGCGUUACUCGGAAUCACUAGGCGUAAAGCGCACGUAGGCGGCUUUGUAAGUUAGAGGUGAAAGCCCGGGGCUCAACUCCGGAAUUGCCUUUAAGACUGCAUCGCUAGAAUUGUGGAGAGGUAAGUGGAAUUCCGAGUGUAGAGGUGAAAUUCGUAGAUAUUCGGAAGAACACCAGUGGCGAAGGCGACUUACUGGACACAUAUUGACGCUGAGGUGCGAAAGCGUGGGGAGCAAACAGG
rnacentral:rRNA from 1 species